CCUACGGGAGGCAGCAGUGAGGAAUAUUGGUCAAUGGGCGAGAGCCUGAACCAGCCAAGUCGCGUGAAGGAUGACGGCCCUACGGGUUGUAAACUUCUUUUGUCAGGGAGCAAAGGGGGCCACGCGUGGGCUUAGCGAGAGUACCUGAAGAAAAAGCAGCGGCGAACUCCGUGCCAGCAGCCGCGGUAAUACGGAGGAUGCGAGCGUUAUCCGGAUUUAUUGGGUUGAAAGGGUGCGUCGGCGGAAUAUCAAGUCAGCGGUAAAAAUUCGGGGCUCAACCCCGUCGUGCCGUGGAAACGGUUGUUCUUGCGUGGGCGAGAAGUAUGCGGCCUGCGUGGUGUAGCGG
rnacentral:rRNA from 1 species